rnacentral:rRNA from 1 species
UACGGAGGGGGUUAGCGUUGUUCGGAAUGACUGGGCGUAAAGGGUGCGUAGGCGGCGCGGUAAGUCGGGUGUGAAAUCUCGGAGCUUAACUCCGAAACUGCAUUCGAUACUGCCGUGCUUGAGGACUGGAGAGGAGACUGGAAUUUACGGUGUAGCGGUGAAAUGCGUAGAUAUCGUAAGGAAGACCAGUGGCGAAGGCGGGUCUCUGGACAGUUCCUGACGCUGAGGCACGAAGGUCAGGGGAGCAAACGGG